UUGAGAACUGGCACGGACUCGGGGAAUCCGACUGUUUAAUUAAAACAUAGCAAUGUGCAAUUCAUUACAAAUGUUGCAUAAAUUAUACAUAUAUACUUGUAUUAUUUAUAACAUUUAUUUUCAUUUUAUAGUCUAUAUUUUUUAGAUUUGUACACAUUGUGUAUUCUGCCCAGUGCUCUGCAAGUUAUUUUGAGUAAUUGCAAUUUUUAAGCGCGGGUUAACGGCGGGAGUAACUAUGACUCUCUUAAGGUAGCCAAAUGCCUCGUCAUUUAAUUGGUGACGCGCAUGAAUGGAUCAACGAGACUCCCACUGUCCCUAUUCACUUUUUAGCGAAAUUACAGCCAAGCCAACGGUCUUGGAUUAAUGUACUUAUGUUUAUUAAAGUAUAAUACAUUUUGUAUAGGCAACAGCGGGGCAAGAAGACCCUUUUGAGCUUGACUCUAAUCUGUUAUUGUCAUCUGGUCGGCAUGGUGAAGAUUGUAAGAGGCAGUAUAUAUAAUUUAUUUAUAUACGAUCAUGAAACACCGCUACUUAUUGAUUUGGCUGACUUAUUGUAUUAACAUAAAAUACAUAUUAUUUCUUUAUACAUAGAAUAUAAAUAAUUAGACAAUUAUAAUUAUUAUGUGUUAAAAUCCUUAUUGUACAAAACACUAACAGACUGGGAGUUUGGCUGGGGUGGCACAUCUGUUAUAAUGUAACACAGAUGUCCAAAGUGCAGUUCCGUGAGAAUAGAAACCUCUCUUAGAAUAUAAGGGUAAAAACUGCAUUUAUUUAUGUACUUUCAGUAACAGUACACAAUGAAAUAUAAAUACAUUAUUAUCAAAUAAUAAUGUUAUUUCUGAAAGGACGGCCUAGCGAUCCUUUAAUAUACGUAUGAAUAUUUACAUUAAUUAUAAUUAAGACAAUUAUAAUUGAUAAAUAAAAUUAUAAAUGCGAUUAGAGGUGUCAGAAAAGUUACCACAGGGAUAACUGGCUUGUGGCUGCGGAGCGUCCAAAGCGAUGCAGCUUUUUGAUUCUUCGAUGUCGGCUCUUCCUAUCCUAUACUCGCAUAUGGGUAUAAGGGUAAGUUUGUUCACCUAUCAAAAGGGAACGUGAGCUGGGUUUAGACCGUCGCGAGACAGGUUAGUUUUAUCCUACUGUUGUCAUAAUAAUAUAUACUAAAAUAUUAAAAUUAUAUAUAUUUAUUAUCUUGGCAGUAAUUAUAGGUUUAGUACGAGAGGAACAGCUUAUACAUGAUUUGUGUAUAUUAAGUGCUAUGACAAUAGAAAGAAUUUAGAUUCUAACGCGUGUCAAAAUAUAGUAUAUCUGAAACCCUCUAAGAUAGAAAUUGGUCUUGUUAUAUGAUAAAAUAUUAAAUAAAUAAUUAAACAAAUAUAUUAUAUAUUAUUAUAUUUAUUAUAUAGUAUUUAUACUAUCUCGUAUUAUUAAAAUAAUUAUAUAAUAUUUCCAAAAAUUAAAAAAAUAAAUAUUAUUAUAAAUACAGAGCAAACAACUCGUUUAUUAA
rnacentral:rRNA from 1 species